rnacentral:rRNA from 1 species
UUUAUAUGAGAGUUUGAUCCUGGCUCAGGAUGAACGCCGGCGGUGUGCCUAAUACAUGCAAGUCGUACGCACUGGCCCAACUGAUUGAUGGUGCUUGCACCGGAUUGACGAUGGAUUACCAGUGAGUGGCGGACGGGUGAGUAACACGUGGGUAACCUGCCCCGGAGCGGGGGAUAACAUUUGGAAACAGAUGCUAAUACCGCAUAACAACGAAAACCAC